CCCUGCCAUUUGUACACACCGCCCGUCGCACCUACCGAUUGAAUGGUCCGGUGAAAUCUUGGGAGUUUUUAUAAUAUUUGUUUACAAAUUUAUAAAAAUAAACUUGAUUAAACCUUACCAUUUAGAGGAAGGUGAAGUCGUAACAAGGUU
rnacentral:rRNA from 1 species